rnacentral:piRNA from 1 species
UAAAAAAACAAAAAGGUUAGACCCCAGC